rnacentral:lncRNA from 1 species
AACAGACUUCCCUUUCCACCUAAAGCAGGGGUAAUUCCGUCCACAAAAAAACAGCUGUAUGGACAAUGUGUCCCAACCACAGAAUGUGUCUCUAAAGGUAAGAGAAAGACGUAAUGUGUCUCUGUAUGUAAAUGUCUCAAAUAUGAAUCUAGAUAAGCUUUUGGUUGAAGUGGGGUUGUAAACGAUAUUGUAUUUCCAUUGUCGGAUUAAUAUUAUAUAUUUAGUUAAAAAAAGUGUCAGCCUACUUCAUUUUUUUUCCUUGGGCAUAAGUGAAUGUCGCACUCAAAUAGUGUUUAAAAAAAAAAAAAAAUCUACUUCAGAAUCUAUGUAUUUGGUUUUGGAGCUCUCAAUUAGGAUUCUAUGUUUUGGUUUUAAGGAUCGAGCCCAUUUAAACCAUUGGUCGGGUUUUAGGCUUUCUUGGGUUAGUCCUAUUGUGUGUGUCUUUUAAAUUCAUUAGUCUUAGGCUAAACGAACCAUGACAAAAUUAUUCGAGCCUUUCCAGAUUCGGGCUGUAUGUAGACGGAAUGGCUCGAUAUCGUAAUUCCAAGUCUUUUAAAACUAUCUCAUGUUCUCCAGAAUCCAGUAGAUAAUAAUUUUCAAGAAACAAAGCUAUGAAUUAUACUUUUUC